UUGAAGAGUUUGAUCAUGGCUCAGAUUGAACGCUGGCGGCAGGCCUAACACAUGCAAGUCGAACGGUAACAGGAAGCAGCUUGCUGCUUUGCUGACGAGUGGCGGACGGGUGAGUAAUGUCUGGGAAACUGCCUGAUGGAGGGGGAUAACUACUGGAAACGGUAGCUAAUACCGCAUAACGUCGCAAGACCAAAGAGGGGGACCUUAGGGCCUCUUGCCAUCGGAUGUGCCCAGAUGGGAUUAGCUAGUAGGUGGGGUAAAGGCUCACCUAGGCGACGAUCCCUAGCUGGUCUGAGAGGAUGACCAGCCACACUGGAACUGAGACACGGUCCAGACUCCUACGGGAGGCAGCAGUGGGGAAUAUUGCACAAUGGGCGCAAGCCUGAUGCAGCCAUGCCGCGUGUAUGAAGAAGGCCUUCGGGUUGUAAAGUACUUUCAGCGGGGAGGAAGGGAGUAAAGUUAAUACCUUUGCUCAUUGACGUUACCCGCAGAAGAAGCACCGGCUAACUCCGUGCCAGCAGCCGCGGUAAUACGGAGGGUGCAAGCGUUAAUCGGAAUUACUGGGCGUAAAGCGCACGCAGGCGGUUUGUUAAGUCAGAUGUGAAAUCCCCGGGCUCAACCUGNNGGAACUGCAUCUGAUACUGGCAAGCUUGAGUCUCGUAGAGGGGGGUAGAAUUCCAGGUGUAGCGGUGAAAUGCGUAGAGAUCUGGAGGAAUACCGGUGGCGAAGGCGGCCCCCUGGACGAAGACUGACGCUCAGGUGCGAAAGCGUGGGGAGCAAACAGGAUUAGAUACCCUGGUAGUCCACGCCGUAAACGAUGUCGACUUGGAGGCUGUGCCCUUGAGGCGUGGCUUCCGGAGCUNAACGCGUUAAGUCGACCGCCUGGGGAGUACGGCCGCAAGGUUAAAACUCAAAUGAAUUGACGGGGGCCCGCACAAGCGGUGGAGCAUGUGGUUUAAUUCGAUGCAACGCGAAGAACCUUACCUGGUCUUGACAUCCACGGAAGUUUUCAGAGAUGAGAAUGUGCCUUCGGGAACCGUGAGACAGGUGCUGCAUGGCUGUCGUCAGCUCGUGUUGUGAAAUGUUGGGUUAAGUCCCGCAACGAGCGCAACCCUUAUCCUUUGUUGCCAGCGGUCCGGCCGGGAACUCAAAGGAGACUGCCAGUGAUAAACUGGAGGAAGGUGGGGAUGACGUCAAGUCAUCAUGGCCCUUACGACCAGGGCUACACACGUGCUACAAUGGCGCAUACAAAGAGAAGCGACCUCGCGAGAGCAAGCGGACCUCAUAAAGUGCGUCGUAGUCCGGAUUGGAGUCUGCAACUCGACUCCAUGAAGUCGGAAUCGCUAGUAAUCGUGGAUCAGANAUGCCACGGUGAAUACGUUCCCGGGCCUUGUACACACCGCCCGUCACACCAUGGGAGUGGGUUGCAAAAGAAGUAGGUAGCUUAACCUUCGGGAGGGCGCUUACCACUUUGUGAUUCAUGACUGGGGUGAAGUCGUAACAAGGUAACCGUAGGGGAACCUGCGGUUGGAUCACCUCCUU
rnacentral:rRNA from 1 species